ACAACUUCCAAAUGAUAUCAUCAAACAUUAACAACUUUAAAAUAAUACCCCAACGCUGGCUAAUUCAAAAUAUAUCAAAUAUAGAAUAUGACAUAUCAAAACGAAACUAAAACGACAAAUGAAAAUGAUGGGCAUCAUCAAUAUUUUCAAAUUCCAAAAAUACUACAAGUUAUCUCUCCAUUACAAUAUUUAGCUAUUUUGAUGGCAACAACUUGUAUCUGGGAGUAGGAAUCAUUUGAAUAUAUCUUGGAGGAAUGAAAGGUUUAAUCGAAAAUGUCUGAGAUUGUAUUGAUCAUGUACCCACAACCGAAGAAGGAACCAAGUUGAAAGGAGUUGAAAGGAGGUGGCGUUGCUUGGUUGGUUCUCCUAGAUUUGCAGGUUGAAAGAUUUGAGUAAUUACCUCUCAAAUGGAUACAUCCAACGGUAUUGCAUAGGACCCCCAACCCUUGCUUCAUAAGGAAGAUGAAUCAAAAUAUGCUCCAUGGAAUUAAAGAAUCCAGGUGGAAAGAUCCGUUCCAAUUUACAAGUUGUAAUCACUAUGUUUUGUUCCAUCAACAACAAAUCAUCCACUCACAAAAUUUUUGAGCACAAAUAUUUGAAAAAUUUACUCAACUCGGCUAUAGGAUUCCAUACAUAAUAUGGAAGUGCACUAAAAGCAAUUGGUAACAAUCUCUCCAGAAAUACAUGACAAUCGUGACUUUUCAUUCCAAUUAACUUCCCUUCUCUUGUAUUUACACAUCUAUGCAAAUUUGAAGCAUGUCUAUCAGACAUUUUUAACUCAGAAAUCCAUUCAUACAUAACCUUUUGUUGAUCGCUAGACAAAACAUAUUUGGCUUUAGGCUUUAAAACUUUUCCACUAGAUUGUAUGUGUAGCUCUAACUCCUUUCUUCGACAAUACUCCUUUAAAUCCAUUAUUGCCGUUA